rnacentral:rRNA from 1 species
CGUAGGUGGCGAGCGUUGUCCGGAAUUACUGGGCGUAAAGGGUGCGUAGGCGGAAUCUUAAGUCAGAUGUGAAAACCCAGGGCUUAACUUUGGGAUUGCAUUUGAAACUGAGGUUCUAGAGUGCAGGAGAGGGAAGCGGAAUUCCUAGUGUAGCGGUGAAAUGCGUAGAUAUUAGGAAGAACACCAGUGGCGAAGGCGGCUUUCUGGACUGUAACUGACGCUGAGGCACGAAAGCGUGGGGAGCAAACAGGAUU